ensembl:lncRNA
CGUGUCUAUUUCAUUUAGUCAGAAGACUUCUACAGUGUUAUUCAAAGCCACUUUCACAGAUUUGCAUCUAAGCGCCAUUGCUGAGAGUUCUCUCCCUCCCCCAAUCCUCAGCAAAAAUACAUCAUGUUGGCUUUGUUAAUGGUGAAAUAUUUAGUACACUUAACCUCAGUUUCUUUUAGUGUUUUGAUGACUGCUGCCCUGCUUUCUUGCCAUGAUGAAGUGCUGGGGCUGGAGCUCCUUGUCAGAGGACUUUGCAAUAUGAAGUGAGCAGGUGCAGCCCACAGGGGCUGUGUAACCAAGGUGCUGCCAUCUGGUCUAGGGCAGAAACCUGCUGAACCCAGUAUCCUGGUUUCAAAGCAAGGAGAAGUUGCAGCGAGUUUUAUACUGAGCAUGUGAGAAAUAGGAGGGCUGUUCCCAAAGUAAUGCCUCCUGUUUUGUAAUGUUGGCACAUGACAUCAGAGGCGGAUGUUGGUGGUAUGGCAGUAGAGGCUGAACCUUCCCAUCGACAUCCUGUUACCUGUUGUUGCCAUGUGACAGAUGGCAGCAGAGGGGCAGUCUGACAGAAUGGCAUCUGACACUGAAAUGUGUAUGAAGCAAUGGAGUGUCACUGAGUUCCUUCGUGUGGAAAAAAAAACGGUACCCACUGACAUUCAUCAUAGAAACACAGAAUCAUAAAGUUGGAAAAGACUUAAGAUGAUCUUGAUCUGAACCUGGGGGAGGUUCAAGCUGGAUAUCAGGAACAAAAUUCUUCUCCAAAAAUGUGGUGAGGCAUUGCAACAGGCUGCCCAGGGAGGUGGUGGAGUCACCAUCCCUGGAGAUGUUCAGGGAAAGGAAAUGUGGCACUGAGGGACGUGGUCAGUGGGCACGGUGGGGAUGGGCUGAUGCUUAGACUAGAUAGAUGAUCUUAGAGGUCUUUUCCAGUGUUAGUGAUUCCAUGAUUCUAUGUUUCUAUGAUUCUGUGUUUCCCUAUUCUGGCAAGGAGAGCAGUGGCACAGUGUGAUGGGUAACACGGGGUUUUAUGGCCAAGUGAAAUAAUGGAUGUUGGAGUGGAGGUUACAGUGUAAACAUGCACUCAGAUACCAGAGUAAUGAACAUAGCAUAAAUAUUUAGAUGUGUUCCUACAUCUAAUUCUUGGCCUCAUAAUUCUCGUGUCAAAUAGUUUAUAAAAGGCAAAACUGUAUUUCAGUUACAGGUUCGGCUUCAUAAUUCUUAAGGUUAAUUAAGGCAGCCAAAUGUGCUUCAUGCCUGUCUGCUGUGGCUGUGUAGCUGUACAGAGUUGUGUAUCAUUAAAGGCUUUUCCUAUCAGUGACUGUAACAACAGUGACUAUCAGCACAUAUGUAUCUUAGUGUUUAGCCUAGGUGACAAGCAGCAGCAAUGUGCACUGUCCCUAUGUCUCAGAUAAACAUAAUGUCACUUGUGUGUAUGCAGCAAGUAAAGGAAGAGUUAAUGACGGCUUUAGAUCCUGAUACAUGAUGUGAACACAACUGGAACACAGGUAGCACAGAAACAGUGUGUGCCCCGAUGCCAACCUGUGCCUACUCCUCCCUCCUUCAGCUGCCCCUUGCUGUGCUCUCUGGGGACAGUGAAUAUCUCCCAGGCUGGGGCUGGCAGGGAGCAGGAAUAUCUCUGGUAGGGCUGCAUGGACAGGCCAGCAUCACACCACAGGGCAUCUCCUGGGGCCUGAGGCUGGGCUGCUCCUGAUGUCUCAGUGCCUCCUACUUGGGAUUAGAUGAGUGCCAGGCAAGGAAUCCCCCGCUGCCAGGGGAAUCCCAGCCUGGCACUUCACAGUGUUUUUAAGGAUGGCAAGGAGCCUUAUCGAGCCUCUACAUCUGCCCCAGAUGCUUUACAUUCCAGUGAUGUGCCACAGAUGUGCUGAACCCUACAGCACAAAGACUACAGCAUCUCACUGUCCCCAGGGCCAGCAGUUGCUGGUAGGCUCCAUCCCAGACACAGUGGACAGGAGCAGCGUCGUUGCCAAAGAUGUCCCAUGGAGUCAAUAGCAGGUGACACAGCCCUGCCCCUCACCUGUGUCAGCUGGACCACGCGUUGGGUGCCUCCUGUGCAGGGAACAGCAAAGUUCAGGCAAACAGAAGGGAGAGGAGGAGUGUUUUCCAGCCUGGCAGCUCUGAGAGUGCAUUGAGAGUCCAUCGUUGGGUUUCAGCUUGAGUUGCUCUGCAGUGGGGCGUGCCCUGGGGAGCAACCUGCUCCCAAAGGACUCAAUAAUUCAGCAUAUCAUCCUCCCAAGUGCUGGUGUCUCUCACCCCAGUGUUUCACCACUUCAUCGCUGCAUCAACGCAAUUCAUGCCCCAUCACUCUAUCUCCCAUUUCUUGGUGUUGCGCCCUUUUGGGGCUUCUUUCUCUUUAAGAGGAAACUCGGCGGAAGCCGAGCUAUUCAAUAUUGUUUCGUAUUAUUUGGUUGUGAAACAAUUUAAUUUGUUUAUGGCUCUAAAGGUCAGAUUUGACUGUUACCCAAAUUUCUGAAGAAUAAAGAAUGAAUCAGGCUGAAGGGGACUUUGUGGCAUGAUAAAACGGAGAAAGAGAAGGGGGCUAGUGAGAAUAUUUAACUGGAACAGCAAGGCAAACUUACCUUCAGCUCAGGUUUAAAAGCCUAGUCAAUCAUUAGACAUUUUUUAUUAUUUACCUGGUACAAAAUCCCCCCAGGAGAAGAAGUAGAAAAACUCACAGGCCACAUUCUUGCAAAUUUUAGUAGCUUGCCCAACAUUUUUUUUUUUUUUUUUCUUUUUCUUUUCUGUGAUUCAGAACAAUUUGAGUGGUACAGAUCACAUAGGUGCAUUCACAGAUCAGAAACAAGGAGGAAGCGCACGGUGGUUGCGGAUCCAAGCAGGGGAUGUUUGUAACAGUGAUGAGAGCAGGGCCAGCCCGGGACUUUGAGAAGGAAGGUGAUUCUCACACAGUGAGCAGAAGACAAAGGUUGCAUUUACACCUGGCCAGAGGUUUAAUCAUCUACCAUUUCCAAACAUUGCAGGCUCACAGUCUGUUGUGUCUGAGAUCAUAAAACAUAUCACAAACUGGAGACAAGAAAGCUGGGGCUUGAUUGACCAGAGCUUAUCUUUUCUUUUUCCUACUUCUUAUUUUUCACUCAAUUUUCUGAUUAAAAAAAAAAAGAAAGAAAGAAAGAAAGAAAGAAAGAAAGAAAGAAAGAAAGAAAGAAAGAAAGAAAGAAAGAAAGAAAAAAAAGGAAAAGAAAAAAAGAACAAGAGAGAGAAAAAAAAGCAUUUUCAAAAGGACUUGUGAUCCCUAAAUGCUUACCUGAUACAGCAGAAAACACGAUGCAAAGUAAUUCUGAAAACCAGGGAGGAUUUCUAUUCCUCUCUGCCUCCCCACUCCAGGUGCUGGGGAGCCCACCUGGCUGCCCAAAGCUCCAUCCCAGGUUUUCAGGGAGAAGAGAAACUGAGGAAAAGUGACCAAAAGGUGGAGAGAAAUAUUCAAAGAGGAAUGGGUAGAAGCCUCUCUCAUGGAUUAGUUUUCCAGGUCCUAACAUAACAACAUCCAACACUGAACCAUCUGAACCUGAAUCUGUAGGCAGCUUUCGUCUUUUUUUUGGUGUGUGGAUGUUUGAAUUAUGGCAAUGUUUUAAGGAGAAUCUGGAUGUGAUGGGAGGGGUUUUUUUUGUUUUUUUUUUUUGAAACGUUUGCAGCAUUUUUGCACUUCUUGUAUGCAGUUGGUUUCUUCUGAUCUCGUAGCCCAGCACUGCCAGUGAGGCUGGCAGGUCUGUUGGGCAAGACCAGUGACUCCCAUGGCAAAGAGAAGCCAUUGCUGUUUCCUUCUCCUGAUGGCCUCUGCAGGGUCAUUGCCCUUAGCUGAGCAACUGCAGCCAGGCUGUGGGCAGGAGCGGGGACUUAAAGCACAUGGGGUUUCCCACUGAUAGUUGUGAUGGGCUGUAGGAGUGUGGAAUGACCAGGGCAUGGCCACAGCUGUCAUCCCUCCUGAGGGCUGGGCCUGCGGUGUUCAGGAGGGACCUGGAAGAGGGGAUGUUCCUUUGCACCUCAUUUGGGUGCUUCAGUGCUGAUUCAUCAAAGCACUUAGCGCCAGGAGGAGGAACCCGCCCUGUUGGGAUGAAGGUUUGCACUGCUGACUUCAAAGGGGGCCCGAUUUAACCCUUUAACUUCAGUGGGGUUUGGGACCCUGUUUGAAGGUAAGCACAUGAUACUGCAGGGUUGGAAGGGGACAUAAAUACCUUGAAGGUCUUGAGUGUCAUCAUCAUGGUGCCUUUGUGUGUGUUCUGCCUGCCAGCUCUGUAACCACUUCAGAAAACGGGGUGGGAGCAAUGGGAGCUUCCCCAAGACAAGCUCAUCAAUCAAAGCAGGAUGGAGGGCCAUCUGCCCCUGGCAUGGCCAGGUGCCCUCAGGGUGUCCCUUGCCUUCCUGGGGCUGCCCUCGACCUGAUAAGGAGAGUGACAUCUUUGAUGUCACCUGGGGCAGCAGUCACACACAAUUGCAUAAUCAAGGUCGCAGGAAAAUUACACAAAACUUUGCCCACAUCUAUUGGAAAAAUCUGAAGCACUUGCAAAAAGAAAAAAAAAAAAAAAAGAAGAAGAAAAAGAAAAAGAAAAACCCUAACCCCAAACUCCUAUCCAUGCCACCACGCUGGAUGGAACGCUGCAGUGCUGAGCUUUCCCUUUACCAUACCCUAGAAGUUUUAAUGAAAAAAUGUAAUAUGGGCAUAAAGGCAAUUAAAAGUUCUCACUGACAGCCACAUGAACUCAGCUCUGUGGUUUUCCCUCUCUCCCCUUCAGAUAAAGUUUCAAUUACACCAUGAUAAUGUGUGAAUAUAAGACGCAAUCAUCUCAUACUUCGCAUUGCUGAGUGCUGUCUGUCUGAGGAUUUUAAGGGGUGAAUUGGGUUUCACGUGCCCUCAGGAGCUACCGAGUAUUUGCGAGGCUGCUUGCAAAAAAUGAAAUAGCUACUUUGAGAAUUUGUACAUGAAAAUAAUGAGAAGAAUUUUCGGAAUGUGUCUUGGAGAAAUUUCUGCUCUUCCGUCUUCCCCAUGUUGAUAAAAUUUACAUUGAAAAUCACUUCCCCCCUUCCCCCCCCCCCCCUUUGUUUCUUGCUGUUUUGUCCUAUCAUAUUUCUUUUUUCUUCUUUCUUUUUUCUUCUUUCUUUUUUUCUUCUUUCUUUUUUCUUUUUUCUUCUUUCUUUUCUCCUCUCUUGUUUGUGACAAAAAGCAAGUCAUGGAGGCAGCUUACAACCAAGACAUCUGUAGCAUGAAAGAGGCCAGGACUAAAAAGCGAAGCAAGAGAAGAAAAACUGAAGACAUUUUACAGAAUAACUAAGAAAAAGCUUUAGAAAGCUUAUGAAGCCCAUAAGGCCUCAUAGGUGCUGAGGGGGCCACAGGCCCAGAGCUGUUUGCCCAGCUGGGCAGGUGAGAGCCCAGUUUCCCAGCUGCCCCCAAGCGCUCUCGUCUCCUGGUGAUUCAGUGGCACGUCAUGGUAUCAGAUACAGGAUGAGGCUGUCUGCAACACCCGUCUUUCCUCUCUCUGUCACUCAAUUGGAGACAAUGAGCGACAUGCCAGAGAUUUUACAUCACCAAAAUCGGUGUGGCGCAAAGGUCCAGGCGGAGUUGCACAAUGCAUCAUGAUGCCUCUUCAGAACUCUCAAGUCUUUAAGUCUUAAGGCUGAAACGUGCAUUUCUGACUUGACUCUCUCAUGGCAUAGUACUGUCCCUGUAUUCUGAGUGGGUUCCUUCCAAAUUCUGAUCUGCUGAAACUCUCCUCAAAGCCUCUCCCACCUUCACUGACUGUUGGUAUUUCUGGUCAUGAGAAUAUUAAGACAGAAUCUUUUAGCUUCUUCCACAGACCCACAUAAAUUAAGAGCUCAAAAUAUCAUCUGCUACUCCACUGCUUUAUAAGCUCUCAAGUUGAGACGUGCCAGAAAUGAUCUUUUAUCCUGACUGCAGAAAGAGCUCAGUCUUUUUGACUUUCACAUCAUACCUGGAAGAAUGACUUACAUCUGUCUUCCUAACUUUAGAAGUCCAGUGAGCUCUUUCCCCCACUUUGGGGACAACUGAGGAAGCUGUUAGUAAACAUCCACAUUGCUUUCCUAUGCCCUGUCAUCUGAAAGACUGUUCCCCUUAAUCACAUCCAUAAACCAGGUAGCUUAAUGAUAGUACAGGAGUUUAGGUGUGAACACAAUUCAUCCUUAUUGAGUUUGCAUUGUGCUUUAGAGAACAACAGCAACAACAAAAGUUGGUCCAAGUGGGCCACCCAGAGCAGGAUGCCCAGGCCCAUGUCCAGGUGGCUUAUGAAGGUCUCCAAGGAGGAGCUUCUGGGCAGCCUGUGCCAGUGCUCUGUCACCCGCACAGCACAGAAAUGCUGCCUGGUGUUCAGUGGGAACUUCUUGUGUUCCAAGCUGUGUUCAUUGCUGCUGGCUCUGGGCACCACUGGAAGGUGCACGGCCCCAUCCUUUUUGCUCCUUGCCUUCAGGUAUUUAUAGGCAUUGGUGAGAUUCCUUGGAGCCUUCUCCUGGCUGAACAGCUUUACCUCUCUCAGCCUCUCCUCACAGGAAAGGUGCUCCAGCCCCAGUGCCAUUUUCACGGCCCUUCAUUGGACUCCCUUCAGUAUGCCCAUGCCUCUUGCAUUGGGGAACCCACAACCGAACCCAGCACUCCAGGUGUGGCCUCACCAGUGCUGAGCAGAUGGGAAUCAACAAGAAUCUGGUGAAACCCGCUCCUGACUCAUGGGAGCGGCUGGAUGGCUGCAGGGCCAUCAAAAGGAUACAGGGCUGGAAAACCAAUAAAUCCAGCAAGGCCUCUUGGCUGCUUUGUGCAGAGAUGUAACGGCACCGGCUGGAGUAUACUGCUCCUUUACAUACCUUGAGCGGCUGCUGUCACCCGCAGAACAUUUCUUGUAUCAGCAGAACUGCUCAUCGGCUAUAAUUUUUGUUGAAAUAUCUCGCUUUAAACUUAGAGAGCACCAAUGGAGGCCUCAAAUCUGUAAAUCAGCUGCACUUUGGAAAACAAAUCAUCGCGGUGGAGUUUUGCCAAGCUAAUAUUCUGUGAUCAUUCAUUAUUUGGUUUUCACUUUCUGAGCUGAUUUAAAAAGGCCGUGCUCUAACUGUACCAGUGGCCUCCAAGAUAUGAGCCUGAUUUACACUUUGAAAAUGUGAGCGGCCCCGUGGCUGUGUUUCUAGGAUGAGGAUGUGCUAUGGUGAGGACUUUCGGGGCAGCAAACACAGUACCUGUGGACAAGAUCUUGCAGGUUACUCCUACUUACCUGCUUGGCCUAGUAAAGUAUUAUCACUGACACAAGCGGUGACUUUUCCAUGUGCUACAGCAAUAGUGGUGACUGCCAGAGAAAAGAUGGUAAGACGUCUUCCACUGUGAUUUCCUAGUGGGACUUUGUGAGAAACUACGAUGGAAUAAGCAUCUACAAGAGUAAAGCAACACCUGUAAAAAGGAUAACAGAUGAGGUGUAAUGGGGACGUGGCAUUCACAUCUACGGUCCAGAAAAUGGAAAGGGUGAAGAGGAAGCACCAUGGGAAGGAUGAGAAGAAACCAAUGAAAUUAAAUGCUUAUUUAAGAAGCCAAGCAAAACACAGCUCAGUGAAACCAGGCCACUGGCCAGGUGUGGUUUCACCAGCACUGAGGACAGCAAGGGCUUUUAGCUUUUUUUCUUGGGUUUGGGGCUUUCUUUGGUUCUGGUGCUUGCUAUGGUAUUGCGGGGCAGAUCUGGUUAAAAAGAAAAAGUAAAAAUAAUAGUGAUUCAAACAUUUAUCCCGAAUCAUAAAUAAAUGUUAUUAACCUUGGUUAGAUUCUUAGCAGAAAUCAACCUACUAGGAAAAUUUUCUGAGUUUUCAGACUUCUAAACACUUCUUCUUUUUCUCUGACCAGAAACACAGGGAAGAAGGGGAGAUCAGAUUUUUUUAAUCGCCAUAGAAAGCCAGAGCUUUAACUUUGUUCUGGUCACAAAUAACAAAAUAUGGAAGUUGAAUUGCUGUUCCAUCCUAUUUUUUUGCAGUUCCUGUAAGUGUGUGCAAUUAGACAGGCUUUGAGACGAGCUCCAGAUUCUCCUUCCUUGCUCGUGUGAAAACCUUUCAGGGCUUCCUGGAGGUUAUUACAAUAAUGCUAUAGUUGCAUGUUAACAAAUACCUACCACUUCCAAGAACACAGCUAUUUACACGUCACAGGCUUUUUAAAAAACAAAGGGUCUUUCUUCAAAGGAAAAUGGGCUUCCUUGUUAUUAUUGCUGCAUCCUUGUUUCCCCGUCUUGGUGUACAGGCAAAACUGGCAUACAGGAUUUCUGCCUUGUGUACAGAAACAUAAAAUUUAGAUCUGGACUAUGUGUAUGGCUGAAAAAAAAGUUGGGAUUAUAAAAUUCUCACAUUUCAUAUUUGCCGUGGCAUAGGAUUAAGGAGAUUUAAAACAGAUGAACAGAUUCACGUAAGAACAAUUGUUAUACCUUCUUUCACUUAUAUCCUCUUUAAAUUUAUUGUGUUGCCAGAAGCAGAAUGAAGAAGCCUUUGUGUAGACUCGCAUCAGGUCUCCCAUGCUAAGAUUGCAUUGACCUUCACGAGGUGCCUGGAGGAGCAACUGCUGGAGUUGACAGGACCCUGUGUAUGCCAGCGUCUGUGGAGGUUCAGCAGGCAGCUCACUGCAGACAUCCAGUCCUUGUGCAUACAAACACAGCAUUUGGUGCUUUUCCAGGGAAGACACCAGCUUGCAGGAAACCACUGAAAUGUGUGUAGCAAUUUUCCUCUCAUUUUUACACUCAGUGAGAAAUCAAAUUCUCUUAUGUGAGUGGAGCAGGCAUCUGCAAUUUUUUGAUGCACUAAGCGUAACAGUAAUGUUAACCACCCCAUCUGGUAAUCUGAGUGAUAACAACAUCGCCUCAGCUCUGAUGUUCCUGCUGGUACUGCAGUUCGUGUCAUUGCCAUUAGUAGCAUGUGCCCACCAUCCUCUUCCUACAGAGCUGGUUGGAGUUUGGGACAUAUCCUUUUAGAGCCUCAUCCCUUGAGGCGUUGUUAUCUGCAUCUCAACCUCUCCAUCCCCAUUGGAGCUGCAUCUUCCUACCAUCUUUUACCACUUCCAAGAAAUCGUCCUGAUGAGGCAUCCAGGAAUGGGAUGUGGUGCCAGGGGCACUGCGAGCUCCCCAAUAGGACUGUUGCCUGCAUUUUACAAGUAGGAGCAGCAUUGUGCAAGGGCAGAUGGCCGAACCUGCAGAACUAGUUUCAGCCAUAAAUGCUCGGAGCACCCUGAAUGUUUGGUGGCUUUUUUUUUUCUUCUUCUUCUUCUUCUUCUUUUUUUUUUUUUUUUUUUUUGAAGGCUGAAAUAUAUUUGGGAAGUACUUGUUCAAACUACAGAGCCAGUCAAAUAUUAACAAGUGGAAACUGAGGGGAAAAAAAAAAAAAAGAAAAAAAAAGAGAUACUUUGAAGGGCUGAAACUUGUGUGGGUUCUUGCUGUAUUUGCCAAACUACAAUCACUGGGGCCACACUUGCGACAGGCUAAAACGCUGCUGUGAAUAGAAAGUACAUCAUAAGGGUUCUCAAAUACGAAAGUGGGGCUGGAACAAAGGGCAGGCACCAGACAGACUUCCCCUGUUACGAUUACCAGCGUGUCACCCUGGUGCCAGCAGUCUGGUGGCGGCAGCGGGCGGCCACCUCGCGCCGAACGCCACCGGGCAGCUCUGAAACCCUGCACAGCCCCGCUCUGUGUGCAGCCUCGGUGCAGCAGAAAGAGUUUUAUCUCCCCUGUUCGGAGAGUGUUUGCUUUAAAGAUGAUCUACCACAAUUGACCAUUACCGAAUUUCCUAAAUUGAGCCCGAGGCUUGGUUGCUAUUCCGUAAGGUGCUGUUGCAGAGCAGUGUGCAGGAGGUGUGUUAAUCGAUGGGUAGCAUCUCCGAUACAACACCUACAGGUCAGCAGUGCACAUGACCCAUUUGGGUGCUGAUGAGAUUUCUUCACUAAUAGUGCUGCUGGUUCCAGUGCUGCGCGAAUGCUCUUCCUCCGCUUGAAUGGGAGGCAAUACAAAGACGCAUUGUUUCAUGUAUAUUUUGUUGGGAAAAUUACCAAACAUUUAUAUUAGAACAUUUGACAACGGUGUCAACAACAUUUCCCUGGGCUGCUGCUUAAUAUACCUUAAUUAUUAGUUUUCCACGUGGUGGCUCUUUUAAUCUGUUCUUAUUAAACUCUUCCACGUUCCACUAAUAUUGUCGCUGUGUUUCUUUUGAAGGAAACAAGUGUGUGUACCGAAAGAUUAGAUUAUCCUGCCCCUUUCUGGGGGCAGAAAUGUCUUCAAAAUGAAGUACAUCAAAAGUAAAAGUAGGUGACAAAUGUUAAUAUUUGCAAAGUGCUUCUGCUUUGAUCCCGCAUUUCUAUUUUUUUAAGAGUUUGACAAAUGUGUCCUGUGGUUUGGCUUCAAACCUCUUUGCCCAGCGCUUUACUUGACCCACAACCCAUUUGAUCUUCCACUUGUUUUUUCUUCUGUCCAGGAGGCCUCCGGACUCGAUAAAGGACAGUUCUUAUCUCCCACUCGCUGUUGUUCAGAGGCAUCAUUUUUUAUUUUCGGUUGGAUUAGGUUAUUGUGUCUGUUUGCUUAGGCGAUUUCUAAAGAGACAUUCUCAUUGCAGUUAUUCUUUGUGAUGGUCGCCUUCCCGUUCUCAAGCCAGUAACAGCUAGAUCCGAUCAGGACCUGGAUGCGCCCACUGAUUCUGGCACGGGAUGUGAGGCAGCAGGGCUGAUGGCUGGCUGCCACUGGGUUCCAUCACAUAAUUAUCACGCAUCAUGUCCCCGAUACCAAAGUAGAGAGGCUUUCUAUUAGUUAAUAACCAGAUCCCAUGAGGAGCUCUGGAGAGGAUUUGUCUGGGUAC